rnacentral:rRNA from 1 species
ACGGAGGGUGCAAGCGUUAUCCGGAUUUAUUGGGUUUAAAGGGUGCGUAGGCGGUUAUAUAAGUCAGCGGUGAAAUUUUUCGGCUCAACCGGAAACAUGCCGUUGAUACUGUAUAGCUUGAAUAUGGUUGCUGUGAGUGGAAUGUGUAGUGGACCGAUGACAAGCUUAGAUAUUACACAGAAUAUCGAUUGUGUGGGAUACACACAAAGCCAUUUUUGACUUUGGUGCACGUAAGUGUCGGGAUGAAAGAG